AACGAACGCUGGCGGCAUGCCUAACACAUGCAAGUCGAACGAGAUCUUCGGGUCUAGUGGCGCACGGGUGCGUAACGCGUGGGAAUCUGCCCUUUGGUUCGGAAUAACAGUUGGAAACGACUGCUAAUACCGGAUGAUGACGAAAGUCCAAAGAUUUAUCGCCAGAGGAUGAGCCCGCGUAGGAUUAGCUAGUUGGUGUGGUAAAGGCGCACCAAGGCGACGAUCCUUAGCUGGUCUGAGGGGAGGAUCAGCCGCACUGGGACUGAGACAAGGCCCAGACGCCUACGGGAGGGUGCGAUGGGGAAUAUUGGACAAUGGGCGAAAGCCUGAUCCAGCAAUGCCGCGUGGGUGAUGAAGGCCUUAGGGUUGUAAAGCUCUUUUACCCGGGAUGAUAAUGACAGUACCGGGAGAAUAAGCUCCGGCUAACUCCGUGCCAGCAGCCGCCGUAA
rnacentral:rRNA from 1 species